CUGUGAGAGACGAAACUGAUGUUGCCCCGCUUCACUUGACAGCGCGGGAAGGAUCACGGAAGAUCCAUCGAGAACGGAUAGACUACUAAUAGCUGAAUGGAUGAACGUGCUUCAGGAGUGACUAUUUGCACCCAGGUGUAAAUAACACCUGCCACACAUCGCGGCUAUUUGCACCCCAAUCGUCUAUUAGAAAAAUAUUUACACAAAGAACUGCAUUAUACAGUAAGUGUUGCUUCAGUGGCAUGGGGUGGAAUGCUGGUAAGACCUUUGCCUUUUCGACCCGGGUUCAUUCCACGCUUGUCGCUCUCUUUUUUCCAUGCUGUUUCCUGUCUUCUCUCUUAAUAAUUUCUUUAAUACUACUAAUACAUACAAAUUAAUAUAAAAUUUUCCCUUUUUUUGGCUGAAACCAUAGAUUUUAUGCAAUUAACAACAGUAACCAUGUUUAAUUUUGUGGUUACUAUGAUUUUACUACAAAAUACCAUGGUGAUACUAUGGUUACUGUAGAUAAACCAUGGUUAGUUUUUGUAAAGGAAGGUUAAGGUUAGGUUUAGGGGUUGGUUUAGUGCGUCUGUGGGACUCUAAAUAAACACGCUGCAGUGAUGUCCCUAUACUGUAUUUUAGUAUUUAAUUAAGGGUGCAAAUAGUAUCUGCCACUAUUUGCACCGGGGUACAAAUACUGUAGUAUGUACCAUUAUUUGUACAAGUGUUGGGGUGCAAAUAAUAUUUGCCACUAUUUGCACUGGGGUGUAAAUAGCAUACCUUUUUUUUUACUCCAGCUCCAAAUUAUCUUUAAAUCAAAAGUAUUAUUUCAUUUGUCACUUUUGUAUGGUAAAAUAAAAACUCUGAUUACUGUGAUGACACAUAUUUCCAGCAGUCACAUAGCAAACAUAUUCUUUAUUCAUUUUUUAAACAAAUUCAUAAAACAAAAUAUUUAAAACAAAUAUAAAAAUGAAAAUUUUUCAUUGUCUUCACAGGGACUGAAUAUGAUUCAUUUUCUUUCUUUCAGUCAAACAAAAAGUGUUUCCCAUAACCUGUUUAUUUAGUGUUCAGGGCUAAUUCAAUCUGAACCAAUGAAACAAACAAACAAAAAAACGUUUGAAUGAUUUCUGCAUAACACGACUGUUUGCAAUACCAUGAUUGCAGUGAAUGACAUCAAAUUCCUUGUCUGGUCAUUUAGUCAUAUAAUAGUCUAGUGUGAUGAAACAGCUGUCUGAGCUCAGUGUGAUGUACUGCAAUUUCAGGUCAUGUGUGACAUACCUUUGGCACAUGUGAAUUAAGUAUGCUAGCUCAGAUUAACAGCACUGUCAUGUCUACACUGUCUUACAUUGAUAUUAAAGGUAAUUUUCAUACAAAUCUAUUUUUAUAUUUAUAACUGCAGUGCUAAGCAAAAUGAUGUUUCAAAAGUGAGCAAAAAUUUUAAAGUGUAAAGAACAGCCUAUAAGUGCAGAAUUGGUGCCACAUCUGCCCUCAAAUUAACAAAAUCUUGCAGCGGAUAUGAGUAAAGUCAGCAUUGAUAUAUGGAAGCUCUGGUUACUGAUUCAUAUAAGCGGUGCUUGCUGAGGCAAGCAUCAUUAUUUGUGAAGUUUUCUGAUGCAAGCAUAACUAUUUUUAUUGCUCAUAAUCAAAUGUGGCUUGUUGCAGAGAUUUGUGCUAGUACUUUUCUAAGUGAUUUGACUUACAAUGAUGAAACAAGCACAAUAGGUUUACAUUGAAAUUUUCUUCAGAAAAUGUAAAUGUAUAUUGUAAUUUAAGUCUAAUGGCCUUCCAAAUGCAGAGAGUGUAUAUUGUUCCUAAAAGGACCCCAGGAGGGUCCUUGCCUUUUAGACCAUUGUGACCAAUAUAUGAUCAUUCUGGACACAUUUGGAAUUUUUGGACUUGAUUUCAAGUAGAAAAUUCUCUUAGAAAUGUUAUUUGUGCAAAUAUCCAGCAAGGAGCAGUAAAGUAAUUCCCCUUUCAGUCACCAGCACUUCCCGUAACUCCUGCUCAGCUAAAAUCACUUUUUCUUCCAAGCCCCACCUCUUACUGUCCUUCUCUCCAUCUUCUCCCCUCUUUUCAAACCUCCAUGCAAUCCCUUUACCAUUCUUUCUCUCUCACACAUCUUUUUUCUCUGUCUCUCUCUCUUGCCUUGCCCUCUUUGCUCCUGAGUUCUGAUUGGUUCCAGACCUUCCACUCGCUGACUCGACAUUCCACAGCUGGCCACGGCACCGUUUCAACCCAAGGCCUUUCCAAGAGUUGAAAGGAAAAAAAGAAGGGCAAGAAAAAAAGUGAAAGUUAAGAACUGAAAAGAAUAAGAGAAAGAUAUGGUAGAACAAUAUAGAGGAGAAAAUGGAAAGACACACGGAUGAAUUACUUGGUGCAGAUUAUAUUUGAGCUCAUCAUUAUGGCUGCGAUCAACCAAACAGUUACAGUGAGGUCAGCCUUCCCACUGGGUAGCCCUGCGUUCACCAUGUGAUUAGAGAGAGAUACUGUGGUGCUUUUAACAGGCUCACUCUUAUGCACUUUCAUCUAUCUAUUUCUGUCCUAAGCUUUUUUUUUUUCUUUUUUUUCCUCCGUUCUGCACCACUAAACUUCAAACAGGCCGUAGUUUCAUUUGAUCUGUAAUUACUGUCAUUAUCAUUUUCAGACAGCUUUGUGAGGGACCUGGAUUCUGACCCAGAGAAUGUUGCACAUUAGCUGCACAAAUUUUAAAAAGCAAAGAAAAUGCGUCACAAAAAAUAACGUAAAAAGUCACAGUCUGAAACAAAAAUACUGUUGUGGCAUUACCUUUUGGUUGAAAGUAUGUGCUUAUGGAGUGUGUACACUCAUGAGCCAAAACAUUAUGACCACUCACAGGUGAAGUGAAUAACGUUGAUCAUCUCCUAACAAGGCCACUUGUCAAGGUCUGGGUAGAUUAGAUCCUAAGUGAACAAUCAGUUCUCGUAGUCAACGUGUUGAAUGCAGGAGAAAUGGGCAGGAGUAAAGACCUCAGCGACUUUGAUAAGGGCCAAAUUGAUAUGGCCAGACGACUGGGUCAGAGCAUCUUUGAAAUGGCAAGGCUUGUGGGGUGCUCCAGGUCAGCAGUGGUGAGUACCUACUUACAGUGGUCCGAGGAAUGACAAACCGGUGACAGGGUGUUGGGCGCCCAAGGCUCAUCGAUGCACGAAGGCAAUGAAGGCUAUGCUGUCUGGUCUGAACCGACAGAAGGUCUACUGUGGCACAAGUCACAGAAAAUUUUAAUGAUGAUUACUGGAGGAAUGUAGCACAACACACAGUGCAUUGCACCCUGCUGCGUAUGGGGCUGUGCAGCCGCAGACCGGUCAGAGUGCCCAUGAUGACCCCUGUCCACCGUCGAAAGCGCCUACAAUGGGCACGUGCACGUCGGAUCUGGACCUUGAAACAGUGGAAGAAGGUCGCCUGGUCCGAUGAGUCCCAUUUUCUUUUACAUCACAUGGAUGGCCAUGUACAUGUGCGCCGUUUACCUGAGGAAGUGAUGGCACCAUGAUGCACUGUGGGAAGACGACAAGCAGGUGGAGGGAAUGUGAUGCUCUGGCCAAUAUUCUGCUGGUAAUCCCUGGGUCUGGCCAUUCAUGUGGACGUCAAUUUGACAUGUGCCACCUACCUAAACAUCGUUGCAGACCAGCUACUCCCCUUUAUGGCAAUGGUAUUCCCUGAUGACAGUGGCUUCUUUCAGCAGGAUAAUGUGCCCUGCCACACUACACACAUUGUUCGGGAAUGGUUUGAGGAACAUGAUGAAGGGUUCAAGGUGUUGCUGCGGCCUCCAAAUUCCCCAGAUCGCAAUCCAAUUGAGCAUCUGUAGGAUGUUCUGGAUCAACAAGUCCGAUCCACAGCGGCUCCACCUCAAAACUUAUAGAACUUGAAGGAUCUGCUGCUAAUGUCUUGGUGCCAGAUACCACAGGACACCUUCAGGGGUGUGGUAGAGUCCAUGCCUCGGCGGGUUGUUGCUGUUUAGGUGGCACGUGGAGGACCAAAAGCAUAUUAUGUGGUCAUAAUGUUUUGGCUCAUCAGUGUAUGUGUUUGUGUGUUUGUACUUAGCUCUAGUUUGGGGACAAAAUUGUCCUGCAAAACUUCCCUUUGGAGACAUUUGGGGACGUCCUCAUUUGGAAAAUCGAUUCAUAAAGCAAAAACCUCUUUUUCAGUUUAAAAAAUUUGGGUGUGGGUUAGGGUUAGUCUAUAGUUAGAUUAGAUCAAAAUUAGAUUUAUCUAUAAACAAUUGAUGUAUAUUGCAUGUCCCCAUUUAGACAGCUAAAUAUGUGUGCAUUUGUAUGUGUGUGUGAUUGUGUGCUCUGAUCUCUCGAAGUUCAAGUCAAUGUGAUUUUUUUUUGGGGGGGGGGGGGUUCCCUUUUGG